rnacentral:rRNA from 1 species
AGAGAGAGACAUGCGCGCAUAUCAAUAAGCGGAGGAAAAGAAACUAACAAGGAUUCCCUUAGUAACGGCGAGUGAAGCGGGAAGAGCUCAAAUUUGAAAUCUUCAAGGUUCUACCUUGACGAAUUGUAGUUUAUAGAAGUGUUUUCUGUUAGUGGAGUGGCAAAAGUUCUUUGGAAUAGGACAUCAUAGAGGGUGAGAAUCCCGUAUUUGGUCAUUCCUCCUAGCGUUGUGAUACACUCUCAACGAGUCGGAUUGUUUGGGAAUGCAGUCCAAAAUGGGUGGUAAAUUUCAUCUAAAGCUAAAUAUUGGCGAGAGACCGAUAGCGAACAAGUACCGUGAGGGAAAGAUGAAAAGAACUUUGAAAAGAGAGUUAAACAGUACGUGAAAUUGUCAAAAGGGAAGCGUUUGACACCAGUGUUGUUUUUCCGAAAAUCAAUUACGAAUGUUUUAGUUUUUGAGGAGUUAUGACUUCAUCGGCUUGCUCCUUUCUUUAUGAAACUUUCUUAAUGCACUUUUCGGUUAACAAGUCAACAUCAAUUUCUUUUGUUGUAAAAGGGUAUGAGGAAGGUGGCUUUCUUUUCGGAGAAAGUGUUUACAGCCUUGUGCCUCUGCAAUCGGAGAGAUUGAGGUCUGCAGCGUAGAUCCUUCGGGGUUAGAUACGUUAGAUGCUAAGUUAUAGCUUUUUCAUAGACAACUUGUUGACUAUGAUUAGUCAUUGUAGCUUACUCGCUUACUGCUAUUUUACCUACGCUUAGGAUGUUGAUAGUCACAGCGUGUAC